CCUACGGGCGGCAGCAGUGGGGAAUAUUGGACAAUGGGCGAAAGCCUGAUCCAGCCAUGCCGCGUGUGUGAAGAAGGCCUUCGGGUUGUAAAGCACUUUCAGUGGGGAAGAAAGCCUUGGGGCUAAUACCCUCGAGGAAGGACAUCACCCACAGAAGAAGCACCGGCUAACUCCGUGCCAGCAGCCGCGGUAAUACGGAGGGUGCGAGCGUUAAUCGGAAUUACUGGGCGUAAAGCGCGCGUAGGCGGUCUGAUAAGCCGGUUGUGAAAGCCCCGGGCUCAACCUGGGAACGGCAUCCGGAACUGUCAGGCUAGAGUGCAGGAGAGGUAGGUAGAAUUCCCGGUGUAGCGGUGAAAUGCGUAGAGAUCGGGAGGAAUACCAGUGGCGAAGGCGGCCUUCUGGACUGACACUGACGCUGAGGUGCGAAAGCGUGGGUAGCAAACAGGAUUAGAUACCCCUGUAGUC
rnacentral:rRNA from 1 species